CCGUUAAAAAUGCAUAAGUAUUGCAACAUGGUGGAUUACAGCGGGAUGAAAGGCAUCACCUCCUAAUAUAUCUGCCUCGUCCAGACGAAUUGGAGGCGUGUAAUGAUUUGAAACUCAUCCUGAAAUAUCUGUGGACUGUGCUGACCGUGCUGAGAUGAGUGGUUCGGCGAGGCGGACCUUGGAAACACCUACAUGGCCAUCACGACCGAAGUGGUGUUCGCCGACAGGUAAAAUGCAGGUGCAACCUUCACAGGCUGACAGAGAUUGAGUGAUAACAGACACUGGAGACCCUCCAAGCGAUGGCUGGUGACCGCCUGCCACCAUCCACAGGCUGUUACACAAGGAGCCCUGGGAGUAACCUUGCUGGAAGCCCCGCGGGCCGCAGUGUGUGGCUGGCGUUAUACAGCCCCCAGCCAUCGCCUGGAGGGCAUCCAGUGUCUGUUAUCACUCACCUUAGGUAGUCUGUGAAGGUCCAGUCAUCACUGGUGCACGUGUGUCUUACCUGUGAUCAACACCGGCAGCCACAGACUCCUACCCAAGGAACGAACACAGUGAUCGUGAUGACAUUGACAACAACAAGCAAGUCCUCCUAGACCUAGAGUGACCUCAAGCUGGGCCAAACAUGAUGUGGAAGAAGAAAUCAGUUGUCUCCAUCAGUCGGGUUUGUGCCAUGGCAGCUUUCUCCAGCUGUCCGGCAGAGGUCCAGUCCAUGCCAUGGAGAAAUUCAGCCCCCAACAAGGAGAUGGCAUGCCAGAGAUGGAUCCGCAGCUUCUCCGGUGGUGGCCGGACUGGUAGCGUACUGGGCCCACAUUCACCGCGUGCUGGACGACGCGGGUUCGAAUCCCCACGCUACCACUCGGAUUUUUCAGUCACCGCCGAGUGGCUUAAAACUACCCACAUGCUGUCCUGAAGACCACCCAUCAACCCGGACUCUAGAGGAAGCCGUCCAAGCGAAUCAAUAACGAGUUCCGGGGGGCAGCAUGAGCCAAUGCGAGAUGGCGCCACUAUAAACACUCGCCUGCGCCAGAACGGGCUGGGCCGACCAUCAGGCCCCACCUGGAAGAAGCCUUGGGCCGACCAUCAGGCCCCACCAGGAAGAUGCCUACCGGCGCAACAGGCAGCGACGUAAAAAAAAAAAAAAAAAAAAAAAAAUCAAUCCUUGCAAUGCCCUUUCUCUUUUCUCUCCUUCUGUACCACCAUGCUUACACAUAACUGAUCCAAGGUACUUAAACUCGUUAACCUCCUCCAUUUCUUCACCAUUCAAAAUUAUUUGGCAUUCUUUUUCACAUUCAAUGCCCACUCUAUAUGGGCAUACAAACUCUACAACCUCACUUCUACUCUGCUCACAAACCAUCACUUUACUUUUGUUGACAUUUACUUUCAACUUUCUCCUUUUACAUACACUAUCAAAAACACUGAACAAAUUUUGUAAGUCACUUUCAUUUUCUGCAUUGAGCACCGUGUCAUCAGCAAAUAAGAUUGAAUUCAUCACCCACUUCCUUCCCUCCCUCAGCAUACAUUUUUACUUCAAUUUCCCCAACUUUGCCCUUCAUUUCUCAUAACACCAUCCAUAUAAAUAUUGAACAACCACGAUGACAUGACACACCCCUGCCUUAGCCCACUUUCAUCUCAAAAUGUUCACUUGUUUCUCCAGUAAUUUUGACACAUGCAGAUGCAUCCUCAUAGAAAGACUUUAUUGCAUAAAGCAGUUUUCCUCCCACACCAUAUAUCUUUAAGACGUCCCACAAUGCCAGCCAAUCGACUCUGUCAUAAACUUUCUUUAGAAUAACUAGAUCCAUGAAGGCAGCAUAGUAUUUUUUCCUUUUGCUAAUAUUUUUUCUAAUAAAACACCAUCCUGAAGGAAAAUAUCUGAUCCACACAUCCUCUUCCCUUCCUGAAGUCUCCUUGUUCUUCACUGAUUUUCUCUUCUGUAAGUCUUUGCGCUCUCUCUAUUAUGACUUUUCCAUAUACCUUUCCGGGUAGCCUACACUCGGCAGACUUAUACCCCUACAACUCCCACCUCACCUCUCCUGCCCUUCCCCUUGUAAACUGGGACCAUGAUGGCUUUUGUCGAGUCUGCUGGCACCUCCCCCCCUCUCCCAUGCCACUUCACAUAUCUUGACCAUCCAUAUAGUAACUUCAUCUCCACACUUCAACAUUUCUGCUGUGAUUCCAUCAAUUCAUUCAUCAUCAUCAUCUCAUCGACGCCUGCUCUUAGGAGCUUCCACCAGGGGAUGGCCACGGCAGAAGUUUCCAUCUUUCUCUAUCCGGACACUCCCUCCUUGCCUGCUCAAAGUUUCUCAAGGAUCUCUCAUCCUUCUCCCUAACGUACUCCUGCACCCUAUCUCUCCAUUUCACUGGAGGUCGUCCUCUAACAUUCCCUCCCUCAAUCUCACAUACACCCUUCUGGUCAUCUUACUCUCCUCCAUUCGCUCCAUGUGGCCAAACCACUUUAAAGUCACUUAUUCCCUUCACCCCCAUGACACAUUCCAAAACGCUCAUACACCCUUUCAUUACUUAUUCCAUCCAUUCUACUCACACCACAAGCACUCCUCAAAUAACUCAUUUCCACUGCCUGCACUCUAGACCUCUGACUUUCAUUCCAGGCCCAUGUUUCACUUGCAUAUGUGAGGGUUGGUACUAUUAUUGUAUUUUCAACUGAUAACUGAUCCAAGGUACUUAAACUCAUUGACCUCCUCCAUUUCUUCACCAUUCAGAAUUAUUUUGCAUUCUUUUUCACAUUCAGUUCCCACUCUAUAUGGGCAUACAAAAUCUACAACUUCACUUCUACUCCCCUCACAAACCAUCACUUUACUUUUGUUGACAUUUACUUUCAGCUUUCUCCUUUUACAGACGCUAUGAAAAUCACUGACCAAGUAUUGUAAGUCACUUUCAUUUUCUGCAAUGAGCACUGUGUCAUCAGUAAACAGGAUUGAAUUCAGCACCUACUGCCUUCCCUCAGCAUACAUUUUUACUCCAGCUUUGCCCUUUAUUUCUCUCAUGACACCAUCCAUAUAAAUAUUGAACAACCAUGGUGACAUGACACGCCCCUGCCUUAAUCCCACCUUUAUCUCAAAAUGUUCACUUGUUUCUCCACCAAUUUUGACACAUGCAGAUGCAUCCUCAUAGAAAGACUUUAUUGCACUAAGCAGUUUUCCUCCCACACCAUAAAUCUUUAAAACAUCCCACAAUGCAAUCCAAUCGAAUCUGUCAUAAGCUUUUUCAAAGUCCAUGAAGGCAGCGUAUAGUUUCUUUCCUUUUGCUAUUAUUUUUUCUACUACCAUCCUGAAGGAAAAUAUUUGAUUGAUUCCAUCAGUUCCUGCUGCUUUUCCAUUUUUUAAUCUUUUUAAUGCCUGAUUUACUUCUUCAUAUGUUAUACUUCUUUCUUUAUAUACUCCUCCUCUACCUCCGCUCAAAACUGUUGCUGUAACAGCUGCUGGACGUCCAUCCUCAAAAUUCAUUAAGUUUUUGAAAUA